rnacentral:ribozyme from 1 species
CCCCAGCGAUGAAGUCGCACCUUGUCGCGGUGCUGGGGCUCUCGUUGCGUAUAGGAACUCCGCAGCAGGGCGUUGCUGCGAGCACGACGGAGACCAAGACAACU